rnacentral:lncRNA from 1 species
UUUCCCCACCCACCCUGGUGUCCUGGGGGUUCUGUCCUUCCCUUUGCCCUCUGACAGCUCUCCCUGACUCUCUCCUAGGGCGAAAAGGGCAGCAAGGGUGACCUGGGCCAGCAAGGGGAUGAUGGCUUCAAGGUGUGUGACAGGUUUUGCUCUUUUCCUUCCCCCUGGUCCCUUGUCACCCUGUGUGACAUCCUGCCAUGUUUCCAGGGCAAGCCAGGACCCCACGGUGUCCCUGGGAGGCCAGGACCCAAGGGAAGGCAGGGUGACACUGGCCCCCCUGGCCCACAGGGACACCCUGGAAUUCCUGGGACACCGGGCUUGUCUGGACCCAAAGUAAGUCGAGGGAAGCAGCUGGAGGGGGAUCAGUGGGAUCCCUCCCUCCUUCCCACUCAGGGGUGCAGUUCAGCACAGCAGCAUCUCCCCCCUUGCUUUCCUUCCCUUCUGCACCUCCUCCUUUUGCAGGGGCUGAGAGGCUUCCCAGGCCAGCCAGGCCCCAGGGGCACGCCAGGAAUGCCGGUGAGCAGAGCCACAAACACCCCUCAGCCCAAAAUCUGGGUCCCUCACUCCCUAAAGGUGGCAGUGAGACC